rnacentral:rRNA from 1 species
ACGUAGGGUGCGAGCGUUAAUCGGAAUUACUGGGCGUAAAGCGUGCGCAGGCGGCUCUAUAGGACAGAUGUGAAAUCCCCGGGCUUAACCUGGGAAUGGCGCUUGUGACUGGCGGGCUGGAGUACGGCAGAGGGGGGUGGAAUUCCACGUGUAGCAGUGAAAUGCGUAGAGAUGUGGAGGAACACCGAUGGCGAAGGCAGCCCCCUGGGAUGACACUGACGCUCAUGUACGAAUGCGUGGGUAGCAAACAG